rnacentral:rRNA from 1 species
UAACGCGUGGGAAUCUGCCCUGGAGUGGGGGAUAACCGAGGGAAACCUCGGCUAAUACCGCAUACGGCCUGAGGGCGAAAGAUUUAUCGCUCUAGGAGGGGCCCGCGUCGGAUUAGCUUGUUGGCGGGGUAACGGCCCACCAAGGCUAUGAUCCGUAGCUGGUCUGAGAGGAUGAUCAGCCACACUGGGACUGAGACACGGCCCAGACUCCUACGGGAGGCAGCAGUGGGGAAUAUUGGACAAUGGGCGCAAGCCUGAUCCAGCAAUGCCGCGUGAGUGAUGAAGGCCUUAGGGUUGU